CGCCCAAGACAAUCCAGUAAUGCUAAGUGUCUGAAUCCUUGAUUCGAUCCCUUCGGGGUGACGGUCUUGGCCUAGCACACGACCCUACGCUGGGGCGUUUAGCGUAUUAACA
rnacentral:rRNA from 1 species